GCACUUCUCUCUUCUGCCUCCUAGUGAAAAAGGUGCCUGCUUCUCCUUCUGCCAUGAUUAUAAGUUUCCUGAGGCUUCCCCAGCCAUGCGUAACUGAGUGAGGACCUAGAAUUUUAAUGUCUAAUAUGCGGUGUGAAUUAAAGAAGCGGCCUUGCUAUGCUGACCUUUUCAAUAUUCUAAUCUUUGCUUUGCUGACCUCUCAGGCCUCUUCCUGGCAACAGUUAGGCUUUUGAGAGGAGAGAGAGCUGAGACUGUUGGCUCCUUCCCAUUUAUGAGAGAGCCACAUGACAUCAGCCCAUAGACUGUGGAGAGUAUUCCAGAUCUAUCACAUUCUGCGAUUCUGCGAUUCCCAGAAGGCUGGUCAUGAAAAAAUUCCCUCUUCAGUUUACAUAUAUGGCAGUGAUGCACAUUGUUCUUUUGGUUGUGAAAAAUUCGAAGAAGUAGAUGUGGUCCUGGUUGAUGGAUGAACAUUGAGGCCCUCAAGUGCAUAAAGGCACUUCUAGAUAUCUGUUGAGGCCUGGAAGGGGCAAAACAAUUCAGGAAGCAGUUGAAGAUAAAGGGGUUUACCAUGGAAGAGAAGAUCCAGGUGCCUUCAUGGAAAUGCUUGUGGUUGAAAAGAGAUGAAGAUGAGGGUCCCUGGAAAGAGGAAGAACCAGCCAGGAAAAUUAUACCAUUAGCAAGACUGGCAUCAGCAAGUAGUUCGCAGUGUUGGUUGUUCUUGGUUUCGCAGGAUUUUAUAGGAGAGUUUCUGUCAGGCCUUUGAGCCCAAGCUAAGCCAUCAUACCCCUGUGACCUACACGUUAUACAUCCAGAUGGCCUGAAGCAAUUGAAGAUCCACAAAAUAAGUGAAAAUAGCCUUAACGGAUGACAUUCCACCAUUGUGAUUUGUUUCCACCCCACCCUAACUGAUACAUAUAUUCUCCCCCACCCUUAAGAAGGUACUUCGGAAUGUUCUCUCCCGCUCUUAAGAAUGUGCUUUGUAUGCCUAUCCCAAACCUGUAAGAACUAAUGAUAAUCCCACCACCCUUUGCUGACUCUUUUUUUUGGACUCAGCCCAUCUGCACUCAGGUGAAAUAAACAGCCUUGUUACUC
rnacentral:lncRNA from 1 species